rnacentral:rRNA from 1 species
UCAAGCUACAAAGGGCGCAUGGUGAAUGCCUUGGCAUCAGGAGCCGAUGAAGGACGUGAUAAGCUGCGAUAAGCUUCGGGUAGGCGCACAUAGCCAGUGAUCCGGAGAUUUCCGAAUGUGGGAACACACAUGGGAAACCCCAUGUAUCGUAUAGUGAAUACAUAGCUAUACGAGGGUAAACCUAGGGAACUGAAACAUCUAAGUACCUAGAGGAAGAGAAAGAAAAAUCGAUUUCCUAAGUAGCGGCGAGCGAAAGGGAAAGAGCCCAAACCAAAGAUUUAUCUUUGGGGUUGCGGACAGAACAUUAACGAGAAGUCGUGAUUAACCGAACACAACUGGAAAGUUGGACCGUAGGAGGUAAUAGUCCUGUAGGUGAAAGUCAAGAUAAUCAAGUUCUGAUCCAGAGUACCACGAGACACGUGAAACCUUGUGGGAAGCAGGGAGGACCACCUCCCAAGGCUAAAUACUACCUGAUGACCGAUAGUGAAGCAGUACCGUGAGGGAAAGGUGAAAAGAACCCCGGGAGGGGAGUGAAAUAGAACCUGAAACCGUGUGCCUACAACCGGUCAAAGCCCCUUAUGAGGGUGAUGACGUGCUUUUUGUAGAACGAGCCAACGAGUUACGGUAUGUAGCAAGGUUAAGUACUUAAGGUACGGAGCCGAAGGGAAACCGAGUCUUAAUAGGGCGACUAGUUGCAUGCCGUAGACCCGAAACCGGGUGACCUAUCCAUGGCCAGGUUGAAGCGAGGGUAAAACUUCGUGGAGGACCGAACCACGUUGCUGUUGAAAAAGCAUGGGAUGAGCUGUGGAUAGCGGAGAAAUUCCAAUCGAACUCGGAGAUAGCUGGUUCUCCCCGAAAUAGCUUUAGGGCUAGCGUCGGAUAUGUGUAGUGGAGGUAGAGCACUGAAUGGGCUAGGGGGCAUAUCGCUUACCGAACCUUAUCAAACUCCGAAUGCCAUAUACAUUAAGUCCGGCAGUCAGACUACGAAUGAUAAGAUCCGUGGUCAAAAGGGAAACAGCCCAGACCGUCAGCUAAGGUCCCAAAGUGUAAGUUAAGUGGAAAAGGAUGUGGGAUUUCUAAGACAACUAGGAUGUUGGCUUAGAAGCAGCCACUCAUUUAAAGAGUGCGUAAUAGCUCACUAGUCGAGAGAUCCUGCGCCGAAAAUGUACCGGGGCUAAACUUACCACCGAAGCUACGGAUUUGCAAGUAAUUGCAAGUGGUAGGGGAGCGUCGUAAUCGGGCUGAAGUCGUACCGGAAGGAGCGGUGGACUGAUUACGAGUGAGAAUGUUGGCAUUAGUAGCGAGAUGUAGGUGAGAAUCCUACAGGCCGAAUAUCUAAGGUUUCCUCAGGAAGGCUCGUCCGCUGAGGGUUAGUCGGGACCUAAGCCGAGGCCGAAAGGCGUAGGCGAUGGACAAUCGGUUGAUAUUCCGAUACCACUACCAUCGUUAUUAUCGAGGGUGUGACGGAGAAGGAUAGUGUGUGCUAGCGAUUGGAAAUGCUAGUCUAAGCGUUUAGGGAGUUACGGUAGGCAAAUCCGCUGUAACAAUUCUGAGGCGUGAUGGGGAAGGUCAUUAAGACCGAAGUACAUGAUUCCAUGCUUCCAAGAAAAGCAUCUAGAGAGAGAAGUAGUGCCCGUACCGCAAACCGACACAGGUAGAUGAGGAGAGAAUCCUAAGGCCGGCGGAAGAAUUGCAGUUAAGGAACUAGGCAAAUUGACCCCGUAAGUUCGCGAGAAGGGGUGCCUGCGAGAGCAGGCCGCAGAGAAUAGGCCCAAGCAACUGUUUAGCAAAAACACAGGUCUCUGCUAAAGCGUAAGCUGAUGUAUAGGGGCUGACGCCUGCCCGGUGCUGGAAGGUUAAGGGGAACACUUAGCGCAAGCGAAGGUGUGAACUUAAGCCCCAGUAAACGGCGGCCGUAACUAUAACGGUCCUAAGGUAGCGAAAUUCCUUGUCAGGUAAGUUCUGACCCGCA